CUAACCCUCAUCCACUCUCAUUUCUUUCCCUCUGCAUUCCCCACACCCGCGGCGGCGGCGGCGGCGGCAUCUCGCUUCCGCGGCCGGUAGCCCUGAUCGGCGUCGGCACCUCUCUAGGCGUCGGCGGCAGGCUUCCCCACCCCGAAAGCAGCCGCGACGGUACUCCCGCACCACCUCCCGCCUUUCUGCUGCCUCGCAUCGCCUCCCGCCGCCGCUACAUCCUCCGUCCACUCGCUGCUUCAUCUGAUGUUGCCUCCCAUAAUCCACAGCAGCGCUCCAUAUGGUGGUGCAGCGCUUGAUCCGGAGCAGCUCCGAUGCUGGACACGAUGGCCAGGAGCAACUCAGCCCAUUUCGACAUUUUCCCCAAUUCUCCUCCCCAUCUAACCCUAAUCACCUAAUACCCAAACCCUAGACACGGGAGCCGAGCAAGAGGAGGCGUACGGGUGCGGCGGCGGCGAGCCGCCGAGCCGGCGACUGCGGCGCUGGCGCGGCCGCACGACUCGUCGGCGCAGGGCUGCAGGGUCCCCCAGGAGCAGGUCCGCGGUUGGGCCGGAGAGCGUGGCUGCGUGGCGUUUGACGGCGACGGCCCGUACACGGGCGUGUCGGACGGGAGGGUGCUCAAGUGGAUUCCCCUGGAGUGCCGAUGGGUCGAGCACUCAUCCGCCAGCCACAACAGUUGCUAGGCUCCUCCCCAUCACCCUCGGGCAGGUGUUUCAGAGGAUCGAUGUUGUUAGCAAGGACUUCGGCAACAUCGUCGAUGUCGAGCUCGGCGGGCCAUGGCUGCUGCUGCCAGUGGAGGUGAUGGCAACACUGGCUCACAAGUUUGGGAUCAUCGGUGAAGUUGGUUUCUGUGUUCAAUGUUAAUGUUGAUGUUGGGGCUAUUUGUAAUGAAGUUGGUAUCUGUGUUCAAUGUUUAUGUUGGUCCUAUUUGUAAUGUGUGCAAAGUUCUAAUUGUUGCUCCAAAUGGGCCAAUGCUAAAAAUUUUCUAGAACUAAUAGUGGACUGGGCCACAACUAGAUGUAAAAUGUGUGGCCAAAUGGGUUGGGCCAGAACAAAUGAGUGGACCUGAAUCCUUAAUGUGUUUGACACGUGUCAUCAAAACAUAUUAACACGUGGCUGUAUCAGGUAA